GUGGGUCUUGAGACUCUUGGCUAGCAUCCAAGCCGCGUCCGCGUCCAUAUCUGCAACGAAAGAAAAUCAGCACAGCUUAGAAAUAGAGCCACGAAAACAGGGAGAGUUCUGGAACUAACCUAAGCUGGUCUAGAGGAGGCAGAGAUGCAGGGAUGGGGACGACUCGAAGAAUGCCUAAGGCUGAAAAGGAUGCUGGGGAAGAACGAAACUCGCAGGAAGAAGGAGAGACCGCAGAAACUUCCAGGCAAAGUGAGACCCCUGA
rnacentral:lncRNA from 1 species